rnacentral:rRNA from 1 species
AGAGUUUGAUCCUGGCUCAGGACGAACGCUGGCGGCGUGCUUAACACAUGCAAGUCGAGCGGAAAGGCCCUUCGGGGUACUCGAGCGGCGAACGGGUGAGUAACACGUGAGCAACCUGCCCUAGGCUUUGGGAUAACCCUCGGAAACGGGGGCUAAUACCGAAUAUGACCUCGCAUCGCAUGGUGUGUGGUGGAAAGUUUUUCGGCCUGGGAUGGGCUCGCGGCCUAUCAGCUUGUUGGUGGGGUGAUGGCCUACCAAGGCGACGACGGGUAGCCGGCCUGAGAGGGCGACCGGCCACACUGGGACUGAGACACGGCCCAGACUCCUACGGGAGGCAGCAGUGGGGAAUAUUGCACAAUGGGCGGAAGCCUGAUGCAGCGACGCCGCGUGAGGGAUGACGGCCUUCGGGUUGUAAACCUCUUUCAGCAGGGACGAAGCGUAAGUGACGGUACCUGCAGAAGAAGCGCCGGCCAACUACGUGCCAGCAGCCGCGGUAAUAC